GAAUUCCUCUGGGUUGUGACUUGGGUUUUGGUCUUGCAUUUCACUCCCCACUCAAAGCCUGUGGUUAAUCAAAGAAAAAUACACACAUAUCUUCUUGGGUGGUAAUUCACCUUAUAUGACAUAUUUACUGAUGAAAAAACUGUAAUUCUGUUUGCCAUUUUUUAAAUCCUGUAAUUACUACGAUUAUUCAUAGUGUUGACUGAAAUUUAAUUGACUUUCACUUGUGUAUGGGCUUUCUGAUCGUGAGCCUAAUUUUUCUGUUCUAUCAAACUUGCUGUCUCUUCAUACCAGUUUUGUGCCAUACCUGUCCUCAUUGCCUCGUUCCCUUUCUUCAUUAUCCUAUUUCCUCGUUAUUUCCAUUGUGUUGAUUUUUCUAGUUUCCCUCUUCUAAAAAAAGAGAGAUCUAACCUAUCAUUCACUGCCUUGAAAUUGUUGAUGAAGCAUCUGAGUUAGUCUUUAUGCACAGUAUAAAUAAAUUUAAUAAUUAUGCAAGUAAUCCCACUGAUUUUGAUGGUAUGGCUGAAAGUAAGUGCUGAAAAUAAUAAUGACAAAAAGAAUGCCUUAUGCUACAGGGAAUUAAGAUGAUGUGAAGAUGCACUUAAGAAAGCAUUGACAAAAACUUCAGGAAAAAAAAGCGCCUUAUUUAACUGAUUGCCGCUUGUAAUUUGCCAAAUAAAAGAUUUUUAUUGGUUUAUUCAUACAUUCAUUUAUUCAUUGUGGAUAGUAUCACACUGAAUACUUAUCUCUGAGCUUAGUGGCCUCAGGGAUAAUCCAAGCCAGUAUUAUGUUAAACAUUAUGUAGAACAAUGAAAGAGCAAACGUGUGCAAGUGUUUCUGCUCCAAAAUGUUGGGUAAAAGCCUUACAUCUAUCUGCAGUAUCUAUACACCAUGUCUAUAUAUAGAUGAUGAGGAGCUUUAUAGAAAAUAGAUUGUCAAUGCCAACCUGUACAGGUGUUCAACAGGAGCUCAUCCUGAGUGACAACAUGGGAUAUAGCAGGAAGGUCUUUUAUUUGAAAGGGCAGUAGUGGAAUUGAGUUGUACUGGCUGGCAGGAAAUAGGAGAUACCCUUUCAGUGUCAGACAAAAGGUACGCAGGACCAGAUCAGUGUGCGAAAGAGCUUGCAGUUGAAGAGUCAUGGGUUCAUGUAUGAUAAAGAAAACUCUUUGGAAAGAUGUGGAGAACUCAUAUAGUUAAACUGAAGAACUAAGAAAAUGAUGUUGCGGAGCUUUCUGAAUGGAAGUGGAUGAUUUAUUUGUUGAAGCCAGAGAAAAGGCUAUAAAUAAUGACUGAGGUGAGGAGAGCUUGAGCUGAAUUUCCAGCCACGUCCAUAAAUAAGAAAGAUUGUGUCUCAGUUGACAUCUCCACAGCAGUUUAGACCAAUCUGAGCCCAAACUCAACGUUUCUGGCUGUGAGGUUCCACCCACUCCUUUGCACAGUUGGCUGUAAAAUAACACAGGAGAAAAACGGUUGGCUUUCAGGCAGAUGGUUUGUCUAACACACUUAUUACCAAAACUUUAAAUUGUGAUGGAGACACCUAAAGUUUAAAAGGAGACAGUUAUGAGAGGCAAUUACAUUUUUUGACCAUUAGGAUGUUGAGCUGUGAGCUAGAAGGGAAGGGAGGAGAGUCAAGACCAGCGCUCACCAGUGCUCUUGAAGAAAAGGGAAAGAUACGCCAGGUACGGUACUGACAGGCCAAGCCAAAACAGCGACCAGAGAAGCAGCAAUAGGUGAGAAUAAUUGCCAAAGCUAAGCUAGGACACUGUCUGGGUAUGCUAAAUGUGACUGAAGGCCAAAGAAGAGGUUGGUUUAAGAUAGGCUGAGAAGCUUUCAGAGGACAAGAGGAAGCAAAACCAGGUUUGAAGGGGCUUUAAGGUCGAACCAGACAAGAGAUGCGAUUAGGACUUGUAAAAUUGAAAAGAGGCACUUCUACCAGAGGCUGUUUUGUUGUUUGGUUUUGGUUUGGUUUGCUUUUUUUAAUGUAAAAGGCAUAAGCAUCUCUGUGUGGGUGCUGGAGGACAGAGCAGACUGAAUGACUAAAGCUGUGAACAAAUGAAAGGCUGGGUGUGAAGAAGAUCAGGAAAUGAAAUAGGGUGAGGUUAAGAGGGCAAGUGAUGGAGUUACAGAAGACCGUAGAUAAGAUUUUUGUUAUUGCCACUUAGAGACUUGUAGAAAGGAGAAGCAUCAAGAGAAUAUUUUGUUAAUUUUAUCUUUAGGGAAAAUGGUGAGAUAGCAAGCAGAGGAAAGCAAAAAGGAAGGCUUGACAAGGGUUAGUCAGCAGCAAUGAAAAGCUAGGUAGGAUUACAGGAGUGCAGAUAAGCAGCAGAAGUAGAAUUGUUUAGCUGUAAGAAGGCAGAAAUGGAGGCAAGAGCGGGCUUGCAGGGAAGGAAGUUAGCCUGAUCACAGGAUUUCCGUCAGAGACACUUUGCACUGCAAAAGCAAACAUGGAUGAAGAAAGUGCUGAAGUGUUUACAAUGUCUUCAAAUUAAAUAUUGGAUAAGGUAUUUCUGUUAAAGAAACAAACACCAUGUGCCUGCAUUAGUGAAAGAAAGCCUGUAUCUGAAUUACUCAGUCUUGUGCACUUGGAACCUUUAUUUUUUAAGUGUCACCUCAAGGACUCAGACACAAUGGCCAGUUUCAGGUGAAUUUGCCAGCAGGCCAGAGGUCUUAACAGCGCCUCGGAUCCCACAGUUUUCGAGAAAUCGGUAGUAAGAGGGGAUGUGGCCCAAAGGAGAGGAGCACGGCUGCCGAGCGAGCUCAGCAGUUAUCAGCACCACUCGCCGGUCCACACCCCGAUAAUGCCGGGUCAACACGCAGCCCUGCCCCGGGUACACGGGGAGGCGAUAUCGGGGCACCCCAACACUUCAGCUUCCAGAACAGAGGCCGGGCUACGGCAUGGAAGAUCACGUUGGACCGAUGAUGGCUGUACUCUAAUUGCUCCAAGUGGGAGCGGCCCCUGAGAGCCGGGGAAAUCGGGAGUGUGCAGGGAGCAAGGUUAUGGGCACAAUGGUGGUAGAAUCUGGUAAAAAUCCCCAGGGAACUCAGCUUCUGUUUAUGGCUCAUCUCAUUUUGGUUUAACUUGGAAAACCAUUUCUUACUCAUUACAUGUUUGUUUUUGUGUUAAAAGUUAAGUAGCACUGGAUAGACACUGUAAUUCAAUAAAAAACGCUGAAAACCAAUAUUAGCAGUAGAUUCAGGUCAGUACAUCUGGUAUGCCGGAAGGCUGCAUACUGUAAGCUCCCCAUCCCGCUGAUGUUGAUCAGAGAUGUAAACAGGAAACCUCGUGCAUGCUCCCACAAUAAAUACUGCUAGUUAAAUCACCUGAA